GUAGGCUAUGGAGACAUGGUUCCAACCACCAUUGGGGGAAAGAUCGUGGGGUCCCUGUGUGCAAUUGCGGGUGUGUUAACCAUUGCCUUACCGGUCCCUGUCAUAGUGUCCAAU
rfam:Sus scrofa isolate TJ Tabasco breed Duroc chromosome 4, whole genome shotgun sequence.